GAUUUGGGGGUUUGGUUUGCUUUGGUUUAUAUUUGUGUUGUUAUUUAUUUUUGCUUGUAUGUUAAGCAGAAAUCCUGCAAUGAAAGGUACUAUAUUUGCUAGACUCUAGACAAAAGAUAUUGUACAUAAAGAGAAUUUGUCUUAAAUAGAUACAAAUAUCUAUCAAAUUUAAUCAAGUUGUAACAUAUUGCAGACAAUUUGAUACAUAAUAAAAGAUUAUGACAAUAUAAAAAAA
rnacentral:lncRNA from 1 species